rnacentral:rRNA from 1 species
AACGAACGCUGGCGGCAUGCCUAACACAUGCAAGUCGAACGAGACCUUCGGGUCUAGUGGCGCACGGGUGCGUAACGCGUGGGAAUCUGCCCUUGGGUUCGGAAUAACAGUUAGAAAUGACUGCUAAAUACCGGAUAAUGUCUUCGGACCAAAGAUUUAUCGCCCAGGGAUGAGCCCGCGUAGGAUUAGCUAGUUGGUGAGGUAAAGGCUCACCAAGGCGACGAUCCUUAGCUGGUCUGAGAGGAUGAUCAGCCACACUGGGACUGAGACACGGCCCAGACUCCUACGGAGGCAGCAGUGGGGAAUAUUGGACAAUGGGCGAAAGCCUGAUCCAGCAAUGCCGCGUGGGUGAUGAAGGCCUUAGGGUUGUAAAGCUCUUUGUCAGGGAAGAAACGGUGAGUUCUAAUACAGCUUGCUAAUGACGGUACCUGAAGAAUAAGCACCGGCUAACUACGUGCCAGCAGCCGCGGUAAU